AAUAUCAAAGGUGAGCCAGUACAGGAUGGACCCGCGUCUGAUUAGCUAGUUGGUAAGGUAACGGCUUACCAAGGCGACGAACAGUAGCCGACCUGAGAGGGUGAUCGGCCACAUUGGAACUGAGACACGGUCCAAACUCCUACGGGAGGCAGCAGUGGGGAAUAUUGCACAAUGGGCGAAAGCCUGAUGCAGCAACGCCGCGUGAG
rnacentral:rRNA from 1 species